rnacentral:pre_miRNA from 1 species
AAUGGGAUAGUUGGGUAAAGUGGUUUCAUUUCAAGUUUUCCAAGAAAUCUCCAUACUGCUUUCCAUAUUGGCUGCACCAUUUUGUAGUCCUACCAGCAAU